AUGGGAUUGCAAUGCUGCUUUAUGAUUUUUACAGAACAAGGUAGCUCACUAAGCAGCAUAAUAAAAGUGCCUGUUGUUGUAGUUGUUGUUUUUUUGUUUGUUGUUUAUACUAAGAUUGAAAAUAUUUCUCUGAAAACAAAAUUUUUUUUUUUUUUUUUUUUACUGUGUUUUGUUAUUAUGGAACACUGUUUCCAUUUUCUUUACUCCCUAAACGUAUUUGGACACAUCUAUAUUGUUAGUAAACUAAAUAUACCUGUUAUUUCACUUAAAAGCGCUUAUAACAAUAUUGUGAUAAAUGGCUAUAACUUGCUUGGGGGUAUAUAUGUAGACAGAAUUUUAUUUGGAAGUGUAAAACACCCAGAUACAACUUUCUAAAGAAAAAAAUCCAAACUUCAGGAGUUUCUGUUUGAGUACACAGUAAAAAAACAGCCAAUUGUUGCUUGCGUAUUUCUUAAAAUUAUGGAAAUUAAUUCAUUCUUGGAGAAAACAACAGGAAAAUUAGGACUUUAAAUUAGCUAGACUGAAACAAACAAAACAUAUUUUGCUGAUGACACAAGCUUAGUUCUCAAAUUUCAAUUCAUUGAUCAAGAAUCCAAAUGAUGGUUUAAUUGCCUAUGCUAAUUGGUUAAAUUGUGGCUCAGUGGUAGAGCAUUGCGUUUGCAGUGCAAAAGGUUGUGGGUUCGAUUCCCGCGGAACACAUGUUAGGUAAUAAAAAACGUUAGCCUGAAUGCACUGUAAGUCGCUUUGGAUAAAAGCGUCUGCUAAAUGUCAAUUUAAACAAAUCUUUAAAUAUAAAAAAAUCUAAUUGUAUUAUUUUAUGUGGUAAAAAAAAAAAAAACCAAAGUAUUUAUCAAAAAUUACAGUUGAGUCUAUUAAGGUGCCAACUAUAGGUCAACACAAGAUAAGAUUUAGGGGUAUUAAAUUAUGGAAUGUUUUAUCCCAUCUAGCAAAUAUAUAUGUUCUUCUUUAAUAUGUUAUAAAAGAUGUAUAAAGGAUAAUUUUAGUGCUGGCUUGUAAUUGUGUUUUUUGUUCUUUAUGUAUUUUAUGUACCCUAUAAGGUUUGUUUUUGGAGCACAUUAUUUCUGCGUUUUUGGCAUACAGUAUGUCAUAAUUAAUUUGAGGCAGUCAUUUAAACUUAUAUAUUUGUUAUUGUAAUUUAAAUGUUUUCUUAGUUUCAUAAGUUGUUUUUGUCUUCUUUAUUGUUUAGGUGUAGGCUCUAAUAAGCCCUUUUGGUUUUUCUGCCUCUACCCGCACAGCAUAUGGAUUGUUGUUGUUGUUUGUGUGUGUGUGUGUGUGUGUGUGUGUGUGUGUGUGUGUGUGUGUGUGUGUGUGUGCAAUUAAACUAAACAAAAAAAAAAAAAGGCGCGACCUGUCGCCAGAGUAUAGUGGUCAAACAUGGCCGUCUAGCAUAUUUACAUAGGAACACAUUGGAAAAAUAGCAAAAAUAGAAUGGGGAAAUAAAUGCAUGCUGUAUGAACAGCCCCUGAGCGAGUUUCUUUUUCAUUCUUCGCUGUGAAUUACAUCUAGAUUUGACUGGGUCUCCUCAGUAAACAAGUUGUUUGUCUUGUUGACUAUUUGACACUUGCACACCAUCAAAAAGCUGCUAAUGGCUCAACCUGAAACUCACUGUUGCUGGUGUUUUUGUUUUGAAAGUGUUUGCAGUUAUGAAUUGUGCGGUGAGCUGCUCUUCGAUGUGUGAGAAACAGGAUGAGGUUGGGUGCUGCCGUGUGGUUUGGGUUUACAUGAUAACCCCGAGCUGAGGACAUGCUUUCUGAGAACCUCUCUGCUGAUGACUCGACCUCUUUCUUUGCGAUGAUGGAAAGGUUGACAUAUAGCUAAUGCAUUUUAGAGAUGGAGAAAGUGAGAGAAAAUGUGUGUGAGAGAGAAAGAUGCUCUUAAAUAUCCAGCGGAUGCACAGCAUGGAUCUUUCCAGAGAGCACUUUGGCAGCAAAAGAUCGAGACAUAAUCCCAGUGAAGAGACCACAGGGAAGCCAAUAAGAAGCUAUUUCAGGUGACUCGAAAGCUUGAUGCUGCUCGGCCCACUUCCUGACCCUCCAUAUGAAACACAGUAUUGAAAGUACUGAUUGAAACCGCUACUUAUACAAAUCCUCUGUAUUUCAGGUGUGCAGCCCCACUGGGAUACUAGAUACAGUAAAUGAAAAUAAUACAAUUCUUCCGGUCAUAUAAUCAUGCAUAUUAAAGAUUGGAAAAUAAAUAGGUGUAUCUCCUUCUAGUAUGGGGGGAAACCCUUUCCAUAAUGAUGUUGUUGACGAUGAAGGCUGUGAGUCACUUUUUUGAGAGUGGAAUUUUCUUCAGAUUUAUCAGUCGCUUGGUGGCAGAUGUAACAUGAGCAGUAAAAAAUACUCACUACUACUGUGUGAGUGUGCAUCAUUUACACUUUUUUUUUCUGUGAAAAAUCAACCAUUGUACAUUUUAGGGUGAAAAAUUAGCUUUUAAAUGCAGUUUCGCUUCCACCAAGGAUAAAUGUAAUUUGUACUGAUCACCAUGUGUUUUGUGUGGAUAACGUUUUGGCUUCACAUAUGUUAUAAUAAUGCUAACCAUAUAAAUACAUUUUUGGUGUAUGAUUUUUAAGGACAUUUGUUUAUUUUUAUUUUACUCUUUAUUUUCACCAUGUGAUAGUGAAUGUAAGAACCACAGCAGAGGGAAAUGUCUGCCGUUAUUUGUAGACACAAUGACCACAUUUACACUGUCACCCUUCUCUCUCUCUCUCUCUACAGACUUGUGGCAUAGACUGGAUUUUGUCGCUUGUGUGGAAACAGCAAAAAUACUUAUGAGAUGUGAUUUUUAGACCAUCUGAUUAGGACUGCUUCCAUAUGUGAGUCAAAAUCAGGUAUGUAUCUGAUAUCUGACCAUCAGUUCAUGCAUGCCACCUUUGACAAGUGAGUAAUAAGAGCUAAAGUAAUGAUUAAUAUUAAUUCAUACUAUUAUUCAAAUUUAGGUUCAGUUUUUUGGGGGGAGGGGGGGUGUUAAUGUUUUUAUUCAGUAAGGACGCAAUAUAUGUAUCUAGUGUGUCAGUAAAAAUUUUUACAUUUAACAUUUAAAAUUAUAUUUCAGACUAAAUCUGUUAUUUUAAACUUAACUAUCAAAGAGUCCUGAAAAAAUAUGUAUUUUGAUUUACACAAGAAUAUGAAGCAGCACAACUGUUUCAUCAUUGGUGAUAGGAAAUGUUUCUUGAAUAUCAAAUCAGCAUAUAAUGGCAGUCUUGGCCUAAUUUUUACAGAGUAUGACUUGUAACCCAGUCAAGGUCACAGGUUCGAGUCUUGGUACCCAGCCAGGGAUUGCAGGUGUGUGGGGGGAGUGAAUGACCAGCACUCUCUUCCACCCUCAAUACUGAGGUGAGACCCCCAACUGCUCUGCUCAGGGUGUGUGUUUACUACUCACUACUUUGUGUGUGCACUUGGAUGGGUUAAAUGCUGAGCACAAAUUCCGAGUAUGGAACGCCAUACUUUCAUUUUUUUCACUUUGGAUGUGAAAAAACAUGGAUGUGCAUGCCACAUUCUAAUAACCUCUUCUUGUUUUCCCACAGUCUGUUUGAAUGUAAACAGAUGCACAUGUGUCAGGAUAUUGGAUUUGUGCAUUAGGUUUUGCAGUGUAUAUGCAUUCAUUUUUAAUUCAGUUUUUCCUUAUACAUUAACUAGCUGGAAAACCCCAAAAUAGCUCUCGAUCAUGCAUCUAUGUAUAGCUUAAUCUGGCCUAUUUAUCCAGACUUUUGUUUUCAGUCACAAUGUGCAGUAAUUGCUUUGCUGGGCUACAAAUAGAAACAGAAGCUCACCUCUGAUGAAUUGUGUGCAUUAGGUUAAAAGAUGCAAUGAUUAAAUAUAAGCAUUCCCAUUUGCCUGUCCUAUUUUUUUUGUCUAAAAAAUGUUCAGUUUAUUAAAAUAAAAGAAAGCUAAUGUGAUUUCCAUCUUUAACAUUCUUAGGUUUAAUAUUGCAUCCAGUAUAUUCAAAUUGUGAGAUGGAAAUGUAUUGCAUAGCAGGAAUGACCCAAACCCGCUAAUUAGUCCCUUACGGUAAUGUAUUUGGGCAACACCCAAAACCAGAGCCUGGCGUCUGUCCUGCUCCACCAAACCUUGGAAUUCAGAGACAGUGACUCAGACUACAUAUUUCAUAGAGGAAAAAAAAAUUAUCUGGAGUUCGGUUGUGGAGACAGCUGUGCAGGGUCAGAAGAAGGCCUGGAGAGAGAGAGAGAGACAGAGAGAGGGGGAGGGAGAAGAGAAAAGAGCGGUGAAGGACACCAUGGGAAAAGUGAUUUCUUUCAGAAAGAAUGUUAGCGGUUCUAGCCCGUGAUUCCAGCUUUUAAUGGAUAACCUACCAAUGGUUUCUAAGAACUCAUGACUGCAGCUGCUGUGCCUCUGUGCUGAUGGCAUUUGAGAGUAACAGAGUGUGAGGAGAGGUGAGAAAUAUGAAUACAGUGUAGCAGUAGGUUUCUGGAGCCACUCAUUUUCUCCAUAGAGAAAUAGAUGUGUUUUUUUUUAGUGAAGACAGACCUACUGUGCACUCCAAGUUUGUUAAUUGGUGAUAAAACUUCAGUAGAAUUCUCAAUUUUUAAUCCGAAACUGGAGUCACAUAAUAGG
ensembl:lncRNA